AAGCAGAAAGCCCAGAAUUUAUGAUGUUGGAACAAGGGACUCUGUCUGUUGAGGAGUACUACCGGAAAUUCAUCGAGCUGAUGAGAUUUGCCCCGGAAAUAGCACCUACUGAGGAAUCUAAAGCCUCACGUUUCGAACUAGGACUUACCCUUGACCUGCAAGGAAGACUAGGGGGAGAUACAUUCACCUCUUUAGAUCAUGUGUUUGGCAAAGCUGCUCAUCUUUAUGCCAUCAGGAAGAGAGAGGAAGGGGUAAGCAGGGUGAGAAACGAAAGGAUAAUCCAAACCCUGAGGUCCAGAAGUUUGAGAAGAAGCAUAAUGGGAACCAAAACCAUCAAGACCCUCAAAGGAAUUUCGGUAAGGGACCCAAUAACAACAACGCUAAUCCCAACAACACCAAUAACCGCAGAUCUGAGCGUGUGUAUAGGUGUAGAAAGUGCCCUAACAACCAUCCUGGUAGAGACUGUGAGGGUAACAAGGUGGAAUGUCGAGAAUGCGGGAAAUUGGGGCAUAGGGCAUAUGAGUGCUACUCGAAGAACAAACUGAUCAACCCUAAUGGCCAAAAGAAUGGGAAUUAUGGGGACAAGCCCCGAAAUGGAAAUGGAAACGGGAAUGGAAAUGGGGGAAGUGCUUACAAUGGGAAUUCUAACUACUCCAAGCCUUAACCAACACCAAUAAUCAGACAUCUAAUGGGAACAAUGCAACCAAUUCCCAAGAUAAGGGCAAGGGGAAGCUGUAUAUGAUGUCGACUAGAGAACAAGAGGCUCGAAGGGAUGUUGUCUCGGACUAGGUGUGCUGGUGCUGCUGCAUAAUCUCGAGCAUACGGGGACUAGGCUUGGGUAUUUACAUUAAAGCAUUUUGAAAUAAGUAUUAUUGGUUUUUCUAAGACUUAUAUAUGGCUUGUGGUUUGAAUGAAAGGGGUCAUUGAUGAUUCCCGAGUUGUAUUUAUAUUUUAAUUCCGCUGCAUUUUAGUUUUCAAGUUAAUGUUUUAAGUUAUCGUUAACCCUUAUUA